UACGAAGGGGGCUAGCGUUGCUCGGAAUCACUGGGCGUAAAGGGUGCGUAGGCGGGUCUUUAAGUCAGGGGUGAAAUCCUGGAGCUCAACUCCAGAACUGCCUUUGAUACUGGAGAGCUCGAGGGAGGUAGGGGUCUGUGGAACUUCCGGUGGAGCGGUGAAAUGCGUUGAUAUCGGAAGGAACGCCGGUGGCGAAAGCGACGGACUGGAUCUCUUCUGACGCUGAGGCGCGAAAGCCAGGGGAGCAAACGGG
rnacentral:rRNA from 1 species